UCAGGCCUGGCACGGAAUGCAGUUUUUACACAACUGGUGAAUUCACAGAAAAGGCAUCAGAGGAAGAUAAAAGACCCAUCAGUAUCAGGAGCCUGAGCCCAAGUUAAGGCAUCUGGAUGGCCUGGAGCCAUGUUUUAAAUAUUUUAUUAUUAACUCUCGGCCUUAGCGCCAUUUUCUUGGAAACCUGCACCAUGAGAGCCAAGUGGAGGAAGAAGCGAAUGCGCAGGCUGAAGCGCAAAAGAAGAAAGAUGAGGUAGAGGUCCAAGUAAACCGCUAGCUUGUUGCACUGUGGAGGCCACAGGAGCAGAAACAUGGAAUGCCAGAUGCUGGGGAUGCUGGUACAAGUUGUGG
rnacentral:lncRNA from 1 species